rnacentral:rRNA from 1 species
CAGAGGGUGCGAGCGUUAAUCGGAUUUACUGGGCGUAAAGCGUGUGUAGGUGGUCAGGAAAGUCGGUUGUGAAAUCCCCGGGCUCAACUCGGGAACUGCUUCCGAUACUUCUUGACUCGAAUUCGGUAGAGGGAGGCGGAACUCCAGGUGUAGCGGUGAAAUGCGUAGAUAUCUGGAAGAACACCAAUGGCGAAGGCAACCCCCUGGGCCUGAAUUGACACUGAGACACGAAAGCGUGGGGAUCAAACAGGAUUAGAUACCCUGGUAGUCCACGCCUUAAACGAUGGAAACUUGACGUCGGUUUGCUCUGCGAAUCGGUGUCGUAGCUAACGCGAUAAGUUUCCCGCCUGGGGAGUACGGCCGCAAGGUUG